UCCUCCGUGGCGCAAUUGGCUAGCGCGUCUGACUGUUAUGUUCACGUGGCAAUCAGGAGGUUGAAAGUUCGAGCCUUUCCGGGGGAG
rnacentral:tRNA from 1 species